CCUUUCCCCUGCGGGCCACAACAGCACCCGAGCGCAUCGGUGUAAGAGUAACGAGAGCAAGUGAAUCCGAGCCUCGGCCGGAACGGCACGUCGCGGCACUCGUCGCGUGGAACAGCAGCAGCAAACGGUAUUUUGAAAUGAACUCGAAGCUCUUCUUGGCCGCACGUGAAGACGGAGCAAAAGGAGGAAAAUGCGAAAAGUGCGGAAGGUCAAAGAGAAGAUGUGCAGCAGUAUUCUAGAUGAGCUCCGGUGGUCAGAUGACACUGCUGUUGUACUGUUCGCGGUGUUUCGAAGAAAAGACAACAGCCCUGCCGCCAGCGUGGGUCCUCUCCGUGUCGUGCUUCCUGGGAAACGACGUGCCGGAUAUCCAUUUUUGUACCUUUUCUGUUAACGGGACCGGUACGGAGCAGGAGCAGGAGCACGAGCCAUGAGCGCGACGCCAAAGACGUGGUCCGCUGAGCCCGAGGUGCCCCGGGCACCGCCGUGUGACAAAGCGGUGCGAGAGGGACGAUUGCUCGACCGGGCUGUCGUGGACGGACCGUAGGGCCGCUCCUAGCUGGUGCGUGAAAGUGUUUUCUUCUUCCCCGGCAACAGGGGUUUUGCUCGGCUGCUGCGAAUCUUGUUUUUUAUCAUUCGGCCAGUUUGCGGGGAAAUGAUGUUUUAAAUUCCACACAUCGAAUCAUUUCAAAGCUGAGGAAAGUGUUGCAUCCCACUGAUGAAACCCAAGAGUAAUCUUAGAAGGGCAAACUAGCAAAAUCUUUCAGCGCUGCACAUUAAUAGGAAUUAAACUUGCGUCUCUCAUGGGGAAGAAGCCCACCUGAAAAGCAGGAGAAGAGCGGCUGAUGCGAGCGUGGAGCUCCUGUGCGUCCAGGAAAGAGCAGGAUUCGCUGGGAAGGAUUUCUCUACUGUACUGACAAACAUCUCAGAGACGGCGGCAGCCCUGUAGUGCUGGGAAGGGGAGUUGUAACUCCGGCAGAGAGAGGACUGUUUUGAGUGACCGGUGGAGACCAACCGAAAGCAAGCUCUGCGCGGGGUACCAGGAGUCAGGCGCAG